rnacentral:rRNA from 1 species
UACGUAGGUGGCAAGCGUUGUCCGGAUUUACUGGGCGUAAAGAGCGCGCAGGCGGUCGUACAAGUCGCGUGUGAAAGCCCCCCGGCUCAACUGGGGAGGGUCACGCGAUACUGUUCGACUCGAAGGCAGGAGAGGGAAGCAGAAUUCCCGGUGUAGUGGUGAAAUGCGUAGAUAUCGGGAGGAAUACCAGUGGCGAAGGCGGCUUCCUGGCCUGUUCUUGACGCUGAGGCGCGAAAGCUAGGGUAGCAAACGGG